AUUUUAGCGGCGGACGGGUGAGUAACACGUGGGUAACCUACCUUAUAGAUUGGGAUAACUCCGGGAAACCGGGGCUAAUACCGAAUAAUACUUUUUAACACAUGUUUGAAAGUUGAAAGACGGUUUCGGCUGUCACUAUAAGAUGGACCCGCGGCGCAUUAGCUAGUUGGUGAGGUAACGGCUCACCAAGGCAACGAUGCGUAGCCGACCUGAGAGGGUGAUCGGCCACACUGGGACUGAGACACGGCCCAGACUCCUACGGGAGGCAGCAGUAGGGAAUCUUCCACAAUGGACGAAAGUCUGAUGGAGCAACGCCGCGUGAGUGAAGAAGGAUUUCGGUUCGUAAAACUCUGUUGCAAGGGAAGAACAAGUAGCGUAGUAACUGGCGCUACCUUGACGGUACCUUGUUAGAAAGCCACGGCUAACUACGUGCCAGCAGCCGCGGUAAUACGUAGGUGGCAAGCGUUGUCCGGAAUUAUUGGGCGUAAAGCGCGCGCAGGUGGUUCCUUAAGUCUGAUGUGAAAGCCCCCGGCUCAACCGGGGAGGGUCAUUGGAAACUGGGGAACUUGAGUGCAGAAGAGGAUAGUGGAAUUCCAAGUGUAGCGGUGAAAUGCGUAGAGAUUUGGAGGAACACCAGUGGCGAAGGCGACUGUCUGGUCUGUAACUGACACUGAGGCGCGAAAGCGUGGGGAGCAAACAGGAUUAGAUAACCUGGUAGUCCACGCCGUAAACGAUGAGUGCUAAGUGUUGGGGGGUUUCCGC
rnacentral:rRNA from 1 species